rnacentral:rRNA from 1 species
UACGGGGGGAGCAAGCGUUGUUCGGAUUUACUGGGCGUAAAGGGCGCGUAGGCGGCCACCGCAAGUCGAGUGUGAAAUCCCCGAGCUUAACUUGGGAAUUGCGCUCGAAACUACGUGGCUAGAGUGUGGCAGAGGGAGGUGGAAUUCCACGUGUAGCGGUGAAAUGCGUAGAGAUGUGGAGGAACACCAAUGGCGAAGGCAGCCUCCUGGGCCAACACUGACACUCAUGCACGAAAGCGUGGGGAGCAAACAGG